rnacentral:rRNA from 1 species
UACGUAGGUGACAAGCGUUGUCCGGAUUUACUGGGCGUAAAGAGCGCGCAGGCGGUCGUGCAAGUCGCGUGUGAAAGCCCCCGGCUCAACUGGGGAGGGUCACGCGAUACUGCUCGACUCGAAGGCAGGAGAGGGAAGUGGAAUUCCCGGUGUAGUGGUGAAAUGCGUAGAUAUCGGGAGGAACACCAGUGGCGAAGGCGGCUCACUGGAUCUCUUCUGACGCUGAGGCACGAAAGCUAGGGUAGCGAACGGG